rnacentral:lncRNA from 1 species
CUUCAUGAGAACUAAAACUCAGGCUUUUGCAUUUCUGAAGACCAGAUGACCCCACUUGUACCAGCAACUUCUCUGUGGCCCUACCCAGAAGGGGACUCAGCGCAAAACAACUGUUUUCCACAACCCUAUGAUUGCAUCCCCAACCAAGCAACAGCACCCAUUCCCUAGCCCCACCUGCCCACCAAACUAUCUUUGAAAAACCCUAGCCUCUGAAUUUUCAGGGAGGUUGAUUUGAGUAAAAGUAAAACUCCAGUCUCUUGUUUAGCUAGGUCUAUGUGUAUCAAACUCUUUCUCUAUUGCAAUUCCUCUGUCUUGAUAAAUCAGCUCUAUCUAGGCACUGAGCAAGAUGAACCCACUGGGCAGUUUCACAAUUACUUCCUGCCUCCUGGGUUACAUACAUUCAUCAGGAA